AUAGUGGAGCAACAGUUCUGCGUGAAGCGGGUCAGGGGAGGAAUCCAGCAGCCCUAAGCGAUUUGAAUUGUGUGCUCUUUUU
rnacentral:SRP_RNA from 17 species